rnacentral:rRNA from 1 species
UACAGAGGUGGCAAGCGUUGUUCGGAAUUACUGGGCGUAAAGGGCGCGUAGGCGGUUCGUUAAGUCCUGUGUGAAAUCCCCCGGCUCAACUGGGGAACUGCACAGGAAACUAGCGGGCUUGAGUUCGGGAGAGGGAAGCGGAAUUCCGGGUGUAGCGGUGAAAUUCGUAGAUAUCGGGAGGAACACCAGUGGCGAAGGCGGCGACCUGGGCCAAUACUGACGCUGAGGUGCGAAAGCGUGGGGAGCAAACAGG